rnacentral:rRNA from 1 species
UACGGAGGAUCCGAGCGUUAUCCGGAUUUAUUGGGUUUAAAGGGUGCGUAGGCGGUUUUUUAAGUUAGUGGUUAAACGUCGGGGCUUCACCUUGAUUUGCCAUUAAUACUGUAAGACUCGAGUUCAGACGAGGUAGGCGGAAUAAGUUAAGUAGCGGUGAAAUGCUUAGAUAUUACACAGAACACCGAUUGCGAAGGCAGCUUGCUAGGCCGGAUCUGACACUGAUGCACGAAAGCGUGGGGAUCGAACAGG